rnacentral:rRNA from 1 species
UACGGAGGGAGCUAGCGUUGUUCGGAAUUAUUGGGCGUAAAGCGCACGUAGGCGGCUUUUCAAGUCCCAUGUGAAAGCCCACGGCUUAACCGUGGAAGUGCAUGGGAAACUGGAAAGCUUGAGUACUUAAGAGGAUCGCGGAAUUCCCGGUGUAGAGGUGAAAUUCGUAGAUAUCGGGAGGAACACCAGUGGCGAAGGCGACUACCUGGACCAGCACUGACACUGAGGCACGAAAGCGUGGGGAGCAAACAGG